rnacentral:rRNA from 1 species
ACUCCUACGGGAGGCAGCAGUGGGGAAUAUUGCACAAUGGGCGAAAGCCUGAUGCAGCGACGCCGCGUGAGGGAUGACGGCCUUCGGGUUGUAAACCUCUUUCAGCACGGAAGAAGCGAAAGUGACGGUACGUGCAGAAGAAGCGCCGGCUAACUACGUGCCAGCAGCCGCGGUAAU